CAGUCGCCACGGGAAUACGUAGGUGGCAAGCGUUGUCUGGAAUUAUUGGGCGUAAAGCGCGCGCAGGCGGAUCAGUUAGUCUGUCUUAAAAGUUCGGGGCUUAACCCCGUGAUGGGAUGGAAACUGCUGAUCUAGAGUAUCGGAGAGGAAAGUGGAAUUCCUAGUGUAGCGGUGAAAUGCGUAGAUAUUAGGAAGAACACCAGUGGCGAAGGCGACUUUCUGGACGAAAACUGACGCUGAGGCGCGAAAGCCAGGGGAGCGAACGGGAUUAGAUACCCCUGUAGUCCCUGUCUCUUAUACA
rnacentral:rRNA from 1 species